rnacentral:ncRNA from 1 species
GUGUAAGUGUUGAAGGGCGCAUGGUGGAUGCCUUGGCAGCAGGAGCCGAUGAAGGACGUGGGAAUCUGCGAUAAGCCUGGUGGAGUUGAUAACCGAGCGUUGAUACCAGGAUUUCCGAAUGGGGAAACCCCGCAUGCUGUUAUGGUGUGUGACCGCCGGCUGAAUGUAUAGGCCGGUUGGAGGGAACGUCGGGAAGUGAAACAUCUCAGUACCGACAGGAAGAGAAAACAAGAGUGAUUCCGUGAGUAGUGGCGAGCGAAAGCGGAUGGGGCUAAACCGUGUGCGUGUGAUACCUGGUAGGGGUUGCGUGCGCGGGGUUGUGGGACAUUCCGUCCAGGGUCUACCAGUCCUGGGGGUUGAGGUGCGGGCGUAUAGACGAACACGUUUGAGUGCGUGACCGGAGAGGGUGGGAGUCCCGUAGUCGUAAUGCGUUCCGCCGGCCUGUGAGUGUAUCCCGAGUAGCACGAGGCUCGAGGAAUCUUGUGUGAAUCUGCCAGGACCACCUGGUAAGCCUGAAUACUCCCUGCUGACCGAUAGUGAAUCAGUACCGUGAGGGAAUGGUGAAAAGUACCCCGGGAGGGGAGUGAAAUAGUACCUGAAACCAUGUGCCUACAAUCCGUCAAAGCAUCCUGCGGGGUGUGAUGGCGUGCCUUUUGAAGAAUGAGCCUGCGAGUUAGUGCUCAGUGGCGAGGUUAACCCGUGUGGGGCAGCCGUAGCGAAAGCGAGUCUGAAUAGGGCGUUUGAGUCGCUGGGUCUAGACC